rnacentral:rRNA from 1 species
GAUGAACGCUAGCGGCAGGCUUAACACAUGCAAGUCGAGGGGCAGCACGCUGUAGCAAUACAUUGGUGGCGACCGGCGCACGGGUGCGUAACACGUAUGGAACCUGCCCUGUACUGGGAGAUAGCCCUCCGAAAGGAGGAUUAAUAUCCCAUAAUAGCUUGGGUGGCAUCACCUGGGUUUGAAAGCUCCGGCUGUACAGGAAGGGCAUGCGCCAGAUCAGCUAGUUGGUGAGGUAACAGCUCACCAACGCUACGAUCGUUAGGGGGCCUGAGAGGGUUAUCCCCCACACUGGUACGGAGACACGGACCAGACUCCUAAGGGAGGCAGCAGUGAGGAAUAUUGCGCAAUGGAGGAAACUCUGACGCAGCCAUGCCGCGUGCAGGAAGAAGGCGCUACGCGUUGUAAACUGCUUUUAACCGGGAAGAAACCCUCCGACGUGUCGGAGGUUGACGGUACCGGAGGAAUAAGCACCGGCUAACUUCGUGCCAGCCGCCGCGGUAA